rnacentral:rRNA from 1 species
CAGAGGGUGCAAACGUUGUUCGGAAUUACUGGGCGUAAAGCGAGUGUAGGCGGUUUGAUAAGUCGGAUGUGAAAGCCCCGGGCUCAACCCGGGAAGUGCACUCGAUACUGUCAAGCUAGAGUAUCGGAGAGGUUGGUGGAAUUCUCGGUGUAGAGGUGAAAUUCGUAGAUAUCGAGAGGAACACCGGUGGCGAAGGCGGCCAACUGGACGAAUACUGACGCUGAGACUCGAAAGCGUGGGGAGCAAACAGGACUAGAUACCCUGGUAGUCCACGCCGUAAACGAUGGGUGCUAGGUGUCGCGGGCUUUGACUCCUGCGGUGCCGUAGCUAACGCAUUAAGCACCCCGCCUGGGAAGUACGGCCGCAAGGCUA